rnacentral:rRNA from 1 species
GACGAACGCUGGCGGCGUGCUUAACACAUGCAAGUCGAACGGAAAGGCCCUGCUUUUGUGGGGUGCUCGAGUGGCGAACGGGUGAGUAACACGUGAGUAACCUGCCCUUGACUUUGGGAUAACUUCAGGAAACUGGGGCUAAUACCGGAUAGGAGCUCCUGCUGCAUGGUGGGGGUUGGUAAGUUUCGGCGGUUGGGGAUGGACUCGCGGCUUAUCAGCUUGUUGGUGGGGUAGUGGCUUACCAAGGCUUUGACGGGUAGCCGGCCUGAGAGGGUGACCGGCCACAUUGGGACUGAGAUACGGCCCAGACUCCUACGGGAGGCAGCGGUGGGGAAUAUUGCACAAUGGGCGGAAGCCUGAUGCAGCAACGCCGCGUGCGGGAUGACGGCCUUCGGGUUGUAAACCGCUUUCGCCUGUGACGAAGCGUGAGUGACGGUAAUGGGUAAAGAAGCACCGGCUAACUACGUG